rnacentral:tmRNA from 1 species
GGGGUUGACUGGAUUUGACAGCGUGGCUAAGUGGUAUGUAAGCAUGCAGUGCGUGGUUGAUUGGCACUAUAAUCCCAGUUUUCAAAAUUUUAUCUGGCAACGAAAAUUAUGCUCUUGCUGCUUAAUCGAAUCAUAGUAGAUUAGCUU